rnacentral:rRNA from 1 species
CAAGGAAUUAAGAGUUUAUGGGGAAUACCUUGGCAUUCAGAAGCGACGAAGGACGUGGUUACCGACGAAACACUCCCGGGGAGCUGGAAACAAGCUAUGAUCCGGAGGAUUCCGAAUAAGGAAACUUUUUAUACUACUUAUUGAAUUCAUAGAUAAGCAAGAGCAAACCUAGGGAACUGAAACAUCUUAGUACCUAGAGGAAAAGAAAGUAAAAAACGAUUCCCUUAGUAGCGGCGAGCGAAACGGGAGAAGCCUAAACUUAAUUACUUAUUUAUUUAAAUAGAUUGAGGGUAGUGGGACGAUUGUUAAUAGAUUAGCACAGUUAAACGAAUAAGUUGGAAUACUUAACCAAAGAAAGUGAUAGUCUUGUAGUUGAAAACUAAAAUAAUCUCAAAUCAGAUCCCAAGUAGCAUGGAACACGUGAAAUUCCGUGUGAAUCUGCGAGGACCACCUCGUAAGGCUAAAUAUUACUGGAUGACCGAUAGUGAAACAGUACCGUGAGGGAAAGGUGAAAAGAACCCCGGGAGGGGAGUGAAAAGAACAUGAAACCAUAAACUUACAACCAGUAGGAGGACGACUAAAACGUCUGACUGCGUGCCUGUUGAAGAAUGAGCCGGCGACUUAUAGGUAGUGGCAGGGUAAGGCAGAGAAUGCUGGAGCCAUAGUGAAAGCGAGCCUGAAUAGGGCAUAUGUCACUGGUUAUAGACCCGAACCCGGAUGAUCUAACCAUGGUCAGGUUGAAGCUUAGGUAAUACUAAGUGGAGGACCCAACCGACUGAUGUUGAAAAAUCAGCGGAUGAAUUGUGGUUAGGGGUGAAAUGCCAAUCGAAUUCGGAGCUAGCUGGUUCUCCUCGAAAUGCGUUUUGGCGCAGCGAUAAAUCUUAUAACUUAGGGGUAAAGCACUGUUACGUAUGCGGGCUGGUAAUUCGGUACCAAAUCGUUGCAAACUAAGAAUACUAAGUGUACAGUUUAUCAGUGAGACUGUGGGGGAUAAGCUCCAUUGUCAAGAGGGAAACAGCCCAGAGCACCAGUUAAGGCCCCUAAAUAAUUACUAAGUGAUAAAGGAAGUGGGAUUGCGAAAACAAUCAGGAGGUUUGCCUAGAAGCAGCAAUCCUUUAAAGAGUGCGUAAUAGCUCACUGAUCGAGUAAACCUGCGCCGAAAAUGUACGGGACUAAGUAAUUUGCCGAAACUGUGCGAUAUAUUACAAAUAUAUCGGUAGAGGAGCGUUCUGUUGUAGAUUGAAGUAUUAGCGUAAGCGGAUAUGGACGAAGCAGAAGUGAGAAUGUCGGCUUGAGUAACGAAAAUAUAGGUGAGAAUCCUAUACCCCGAAAACCCAAGGUUUCCUCCGGAAGGCUCGUCCGCGGAGGGUAAGUCAGGACCUAAGGCAAGGCUGAAAAGCGUAGUCGAUGGACAACGGGUUAAUAUUCCCGUACCAUUAUUUAUUGAUAACGAGGGACGAAGAAGGCUAAGCUGGCCGGAUGUUGGUUACCGGUUUAAGCGUUCGAGAUGAUGAGAAACGGAGAAAACGUUUUGAGUUGAGGCGUGAUGACGAGAUGCUACGGCAUUGAAGCAGUGUAUGUCAGACUUCCAAGAAAAGCUCGGACUGUCAUAAAUAAAUAAUGCCUGUACCAUAACCGACACAGGUGGGUAGGUAGAGUAUACUAAGGGGCGCGAGAUAACUCUCUCUAAGGAACUCGGCAAAAUGACUCCGUAACUUUGGUAUAAGGAGUGACUUUUUAGGUAACUUUAGAAAGUUGUCACACAAUCGAGGACAGCGACUAGUUAUUAAAACUACAGGUUUCUGCUAAUUCGUAAGAAGAUGUAUUGAAACUGACGCCUGCCCAGUGCUGCAAGAUUAAAGAAAAAAGUCAUUUGGCUUUGACCCUAACUCCCAGUAAACGGCGGCUGUAACUCUGACGGUCCUAAGGUAGCGAAAUUCCUUGGCAUUUGAUUGGUGUCCUGCAUGAACGGCGUAACGACUGUCCUACUGUCUCCAACAUAAACUCAGUGAAAUUGAAUUUUUCGUGAAGAUGCGAAAUUCUUGCAGCUAGACGGAAAGACCCCGUGCACCUUUACUGCAGUUAUACAUUGUAAUAAAAUUUUUUUCGUGUAGCAUAGGUGGGAAGUUAUUUAUAAGCUCUUUGCGUAAGCAAACAAGUUAAACGUCGUUGAAAUACCACUUUAAAAAUUUUUUAUUACUUAUUAUUUAAAACAGUGUAUAAUGGGUAGUUUGACUGGGGCGGUCGCCUCCUAAAGAGUAACGGAGGCGUACAAAGGUAAAUUUGAGUUGAAUUUCAACAACUUUAAAGCGUAAUAGUAUAUGUUUGCCUGACUGUAAGAUUGACAAAUCAAGCAGGGGCGAAAGCCGGUUAUAGUGAUCCGGUGAUUCUGAGUGGAAAAGGUCAUCGCUCAACGAAUAAAAGGUACGCCGGGGAUAACAGGCUAAUCACUUUUUAGAGACCUUAUCAACGAAGUGGUUUGGCACCUCGAUGUUGGAUUAUCGCAUCCUGGAGCUGAAGACGGUUCCAAGGGUUUGACUGUUCGUCAAUGAAGGCGGUACAUGAUCUGAGUUUAGAACGUCGUGAGACAGUUUGGUCCCUAUCUACUGCAAGUGUAAAAAAUUGAGAGGGGUAAACCUUAGUACGAGAGGACCGGGAAAAGUAAAUCCAUGGUGAAUCGAUUGUUAUACCGAUAGCAUAGUCGAGUAGCUACAUUUGUAAUAAAUAACCACUGAAAGCAUCUAAGUGGGAAAUUAGCCUCAAUACAAAUUUUUUUUUAAACUGUAAUAGAUUAUUACAUAGAUAGGCUUGGUGUGUAAGAAUUGUAAGGUUUUUAGCAAACAAGUACUAAAU